AAUCUUCCGCAAUGGACGAAAGUCUGACGGAGCAACGCCGCGUGAGAGAAGAAGGUUUUCGGAUUGUAAAUCUCUGUCUUUUGGGAAGAAUGGCUUUUAUGUGAAUAAUGUGAGAGCAUGACGGUACCAGAGGAGGAAGCCACGGCUAACUACGUGCCAGCAGCCGCGGUAAUACGUAGGUGGCGAGCGUUGUCCGGAAUUAUUGGGCGUAAAGCGCGCGCAGGCGGGCAGAUAAGUCUGACUUAAAAGUGCGGGGCUCAACCCCGUGAGGGGUCAGAAACUAUCUAUCUUGAGUGCAGGAGAGGACAGUGGAAUUCCCAGUGUAGCGGUGAAAUGCGUAGAUAUUGGGAGGAACACCAGUGGCGAAGGCGACUGUCUGGACUGUGUCUGACGCUGAGGCGCGAAAGCCAGGGUAGUGAACGGG
rnacentral:rRNA from 1 species